rnacentral:rRNA from 1 species
CGUAGGAUCCAAGCGUUAUCCGGAAUUACUGGGCGUAAAGAGUUGCGUAGGUGGCAAAGUAAGUAAGAUGUGAAAGCGUGCAGCUCAACUGCAUAUACAUGUCUUAAACUGCUUAGCUAGAGAACGGGAGAGGUAGAUGGAAUUCCCAGUGUAGGGGUGAAAUCCGUAGAUAUUGGGAGGAACACCGAUGGCGUAGGCAGUCUACUGGCCCGUUUCUGACACUAAGGCACGAAAGCGUGGGGAGCGAACAGGAUUAGAUACCCUGGUAGUCCACGCCGUAAACUAUGGAUGCUAGCUGUUAUAAGUAUCGACCCUUGUAGUAGCGAAGCUAACGCGUUAAGCAUCCCGCCUGUGGAGUACGGUCGCAAGACUA